rnacentral:rRNA from 1 species
GAUGAACGCUAGCUACAGGCUUAACACAUGCAAGUCGAGGGGCAGCAUGGUCUUAGCUUGCUAAGGCCGAUGGCGACCGGCGCACGGGUGAGUAACACGUAUCCAACCUGCCGUCUACUCUUGGACAGCCUUCUGAAAGGAAGAUUAAUACAAGAUGGCAUCAUGAGUCCGCAUGUUCACAUGAUUAAAGGUAUUCCGGUAGACGAUGGGGAUGCGUUCCAUUAGAUAGUAGGCGGGGUAACGGCCCACCUAGUCGUCGAUGGAUAGGGGUUGUGAGAGGAAGGUCCCCCACAUUGGAACUGGGCCACGGUCCACACUCCUACGGGAGGCAGCAGUGCGGAAUAUUGGUCAGUGGGCGAUAGCCUGAACCAGCCAAGUAGCGUGAAGGAUGACUGCCCUAUGGGUUGUAACCUUCUUUUAUAAAGGAAUAAAGUCGGGUAUGGAUGCCCGUUUGCCUGUACUUUAUGAAUAAGGAUCGGCUAACUCCGUG